rnacentral:rRNA from 1 species
GAUGAACGCUGGCGGCGUGCCUAAUACAUGCAAGUCGAGCGAACAGAUGAGGAGCUUGCUCCUCUGACGUUAGCGGCGGACGGGUGAGUAACACGUGGAUAACCUACCUAUAAGACUGGGAUAACUUCGGGAAACCGGAGCUAAUACCGGAUAAUAUAUUGAACCGCAUGGUUCAAUAGUGAAAGACGGUUUUGCUGUCACUUAUAGAUGGAUCCGCGCCGCAUUAGCUAGUUGGUAAGGUAACGGCUUACCAAGGCAACGAUGCGUAGCCGACCUGAGAGGGGGAGAGGCCCCACAGGGAAGGGGAAACGGGCCAGAGACCCAGGGGGGGGAGCGAGAGGGGAAUUUCCCGAAAGGGCGAAAGCGCGAGCGGGAAACCCCCCGGGAGGGAGAAAAGGGUUUGGGUCUCAAAACCCUUUUUUUGGGGGAAAAAAAAAGUGUGAGAAAACAUACGCGCCUUGAGGGGACCCAUACAAAGAGCCCCGGGCGAAACCGC